CUUUUCGAGGAGCGUUGCGACAGCUAUCCCAGCGGAUAUCUGCCAGGCUCGAAGAGAGGCUUCAUUAACAACGGCGCUCGGUUAAA
rnacentral:ncRNA from 2 species